rnacentral:rRNA from 1 species
UCUGGUUGAUCCUGCCAGUAGUCAUAUGCUUAUCUCAAAGAUUAAGCCAUGCAUGUCUAAGUACACGAUCUAGUACUCUGAAACCGCGGAUGGCUCAUUAUAACAACUAUGCUUUGAGAGAUAUUAUCAUUUGCCACAAGAUAACUGUGGUAAUUCUAGAGCUAAUAUUUUAUUGAAUGCCGUGACUCACGAAGCGGCGGAUUUAUUAGAUCAAAACUAACCUGUCCUAGACAGUAAUUUGAUGACUCUGGAUAACUUUACUGAUCGUACCAACUCUGCGUUGACGACGAAUCUCUGAAAUGGCUGACCUAUCAACUUUCGAUGGUAAGAUCAAAGCUUACCAUGGUUGUAACGGAUAACGGGGAAUCAAAAUUCGAUUCUGGAAAGGGAGCCUGAGAAACGGCUACCACAUCCACGGAAGGCAGCAGGCUCAAAAAUUACCCAAUACCGGUUCGGCGAGGUAGUGACAAUAAAUAACAAUAUGGACCCUAGUGGUUUCAUAAUUGCAAUGAGAUUAUUUUAAAUACUUUUUCAAGUAUCAAUUGAAGGGAAAGUCUGGUGCCAGCAGCCACAGUGAUUUCAGCUUCAAAAGCGUAUAUUAAAGUUGUUGCAGUUAAACAGCUCGUACUGAAAUUGAGGUAGAUGUAAUUGAAGUCUUAUGAUUGAUUAUUACUACACCUUUUCUUCGUGUAUAUUAGUGAGGGACUUAAUUGUUUUUUUCUAAUCACCGAAAUGUUUACUUUUAAAAGAAUUUAAAUUUGUUGCAGUAAUAAAUAUUAGCUACUAAUGGACGUUUUAACUCGAUCUAAUAUGGCGACCACGAGUAAUUUUUUUAAUCAAUUUCUGAAGCC